CAGUGUUUCACUCUGCAGGGAAAAGUGUGUACCACAUCUAUCCCACAGUACUGAUUUUGUUCUGGGCUUCAGCACAGCAUUGGAAAGGGAAAAACUGAAAAACAGAAGAGACAGAAGUACCAUGAAGAAAGAAGUCCAAUCAGGUAACUUCUAUCUCCUUCCAGGGUUAACGAGACCUGGGCAGAUGCUUCGAAUGGACGGAGGAAUGCCUCAUACCAGGACGGCAAAAUGAAACUCCGCUGGCUGAAAUGAUUAGUGGCACCAUGGAUGGUUGGUUCUGAUUAGCUGCAAUUUGCAGAUUACUUGCAAGUAUUUCAUUUCCAGAAGACUGCAAGCUACUGACCAUGCGACAUUGGAGUCAAAGUCAUAGCUGGGGGUGAGAGUGAACUGCUUGUUCCAGAAGCUUCUAACAGAGCUCUUGUUGGUAUUGGGCACUUCAUGAUAUGCACUUAAUUAUACCACAGAAGUGCUAUUUUUAAAAUGGCAUUUUUAUUGUGAGAACAGCCUCAUUGCUGCCUUCUGCUGCAUGGAAAAGUAGUUGCACACUUGCUGUAGUAGUGCGUGGUUCACUGCUGCAAAAAUGACCUUUUACAUAAUGUCAUUUGUGGUGUUUGGUGAGUCUGAGACAUGACUUAUUUCUGUGCAUUUUCAUAAGGCACAGCAAGUGCAAAAAAAACAAGUUGCUUUGUUUGGGGGGGGGAAAAAACCAACCCCAAAUGUUUAACAGCUGUUCAGUUUCACAACCUCUGGCACUUAACCACUGCGUCUUAAAGUAUCUCUCAAAAUGCUGCUGACUUUUGAAGGCUCUGUUAUCACCAGGCUCCAUCUGAGCUUAGGCUUUGCUAGGUGGCAAGGACAAGAGGCACGGCUGCUGCAUCGCUUCUCAGUACAACUCUUUUGCUGCUCAGUGUUCCUAACAGCUAGAUGGUGGUGGCCCUUGUCUAUCUGCAGACUUCGAGUGCUGUCACCGGAAGCCUGGCCAUGGGCCUACUCGGUGAUUGGGAAAGAAACAGGCUCUCGUGGGCUUGUCACUUCUGCAGUCUGAGCUCUCUGUUGUACAGUGGUAAGAGGAAUGAAAUGACCUGCAUUGACUCCCAGCUCCACCGGCAACCUGGUUCUUCCGUGUUGGGAGAAAGUGUUGUGCAGGCACCGCCUGAGUUCUGCAGGAGACUGCUUCACAGAGACACCUCUGUGCUCGCGGGCAUUUGGAAAAUACACGUAAUGCUCUGCUGGCAGGGAAGGAUCUCACUGGUCCUGAUUUGUUGUCAUGAAAUGUGAGGCUCAAUCAGGUAGUUAAACAUAGUGUACUCUUUUCAGGAGUAUGAACCAACCGAAACAAACCAACCACUCCUCACAAACAAACAGAAAACCUCAACAGGAACUUCUCAGAAACACUUUGCUGACACAUUCCGUCAUCUCUCCAGUUAAAGAAUUUCUGUCUUUGCUGAAUUGUGGUGGGAGGUCGGGGGAAAGUUGAAGAUUUCCCCCUACAAAGUGUAAAUCCCCUGGAGUGCAGCUUUCCGAGCACCGAGCCCUUUGUAGCUGCUGAGAAGCUAAAAGUCUUGGUUUGCUUUCAGCAGUUCAAUGAAUAAUUCUGAAAUAGGGGAAAUGAUUGCUUGGCAGGCAGGCUGCCUUUCCAACUAGUUUAGCCAGCAGAGGCAUAUUAUCCAAAUAAUACAUUUGAGUAAUCUUUGUUUUUUGAAGUUAUUUUCAAACUAAUUCUGGAGAUAAGGCAUUGAGCUCAAUUCACGUCAUCUUUUUAAGCACAUGAUAAACAUGUGGAAUGAUGAUGAAAGAGGAAAUUUCUCUUGUGUACAAAUAGUGUUGGAAGACAAAGUAGUUCAUAAGUCAAGCACUUCAGUGUUGUGGAAGGCACGCAUCUACAUUUCAGUACGAGGUAUAUAUCCUUCAUGCAAGCUGCAUUUGCUAAACUUUUGUGAUUUACAUAAAAUGAAGUAUUCUGCUUGAUUCAAACAAGUUAAUAGUGUUUAAUUCCCAAAUAAUCUUGAAAUUUCCUGUUUACUUCAAGAAAAAGUUUUGAAAACCUGUGCAAAAUGACCUUUCUCAUUUCUGUUGCUGUAUUGUUACAGCUAUUGGGGAAAAUAUUUUGUUUAGAACUUAAUAUUCUACUGAUAAAGAUGGAGAUGGGCACUAACUGCUGUGGUUAUGCACUCCCUGACUGGCCAACAAGAUGGAGUUAUGGCAAAAAGAUGUCUCUAUAAUUAGGGAGUUUUUCAAAACUGUAUUAAAGCUUAGAUGUUGCAUCAAAUCAUACCUACGUGUGACUUUGUGUGCAUUUAAGUAUUGAUGAGUAUUGAUUUUUACUGUUGCCUCACUGCCUUUCAUUAUUUUGACUUUUUGUUCUUCCUGUUGUGUAUUGUUUUUCUGUCCCAUACAACAUUGGGGCUUAAAAGAUAUUUUGAAUCAUUUAAUUUGUUCUUCCUUUCAUAGAGAUUAGUGCUGCACUGUGUGCUGGUUUCAUGCAAUUUUACUCUCAUUUUCUUUCUCAUCAUCCUGACAUCCGAGCAACAUCUAUGUGCAACUGAAGGAUGUGUCACCUGAUUCAGCUCAGAUGCUUCAGAAGUAGUUAUCAACAUAAAAAGCUUUACUUUUCAAGACUGAUUCAAAGACAUGCAUGCUAAGGGCUAAAACAGAAAGUGGAGACUUGUCAUUGUUGCAAGCUCACGUACCGUUUUGAUAGAGUAUCCUACCCUGGCUUGGAAGUGACGGCCUCAGCACUUUCCUCAUCAGAGAAACCUCUCGGAGUUUCCUUGGUGCCCAGUGAGAGCAAUCCAGCCUGGUAGAGUCUGUGCUCAUCUUCCCCUCAGCUCUCAUCUGCAUUCUGUCAAAGCCAUUAUCUGAAAGCUGUGGGCUUGCCCAUGGAACUGAAUAAAGGAAACUAGGAGAGGGAUGAGCGUGAGGAUAAAAAUCCCAGGUGGUAUUAUCUAAAUUGCCAAUCUGCAAAAAUAUAUUUUUAACAUCAGUGUUGCCCAGUAUAAGAAUAAGCUGCUUUUUCAGGCUGUUCAGGUAUGAUGUCUGUCAGAGAGGUUACAACGAAAGCACAGAAGAAUAACACAGCUCCAGGAAAGAUGAAGCUAAUUUUUAACUUCAAGCUGCAGUCAACCUUCGCAGCAACUAACCUUCCAAAAAUGCCCUGUGUUAUCUGCCUCUCUGAAACUUUUUUCUCUCAAACAACACAAACUACAGAAAAUAUCUAGACGUAGGCAGCACACAUCUGUUUGAUCUUGCUUACUUCAGAUGCCUUUAAUGUGUUUCUUGCAUUUAGAGUUUCAGCAAAUCUAACAAAAUGAAACUGAGGAGCAAAUGGGGUGGAUUAUCUCCAUAAAAAGUUGAGGAAAAGACUACAGUGCAGAGUCAAAAUGGCCUGAAAUACAGCAGCAUGCUGUAGAACUAGAAACAAGAGGAAAGAAAACUAUCAGAAUAAACUACUGGAAGGAGGGUUAUGUGGGACUAAGUGUUUUUUCCAACAAUCAGCGCUGUGCAUCUGUAGCAGAUGGUAAUCCAGUCCAGUAUCAGAGUCACCUAGAGCCAGGAGUCCAGACCUUUCUGGACAUCUAGAGCUCCUCCUCUUUACCCUUAGGUUUCCCUGUUUUCUACAUCUCCUUGCUGCAAGUUCCUUAUUCCUUGUUUUGUCCUCAUGGGAUACAACAUCUUUGUAACUACUUUUGCAUAUUUGAAGAUAGCCUUUUACGUCCUCUGAUUUUCAGCCUUUCUUGUUGUGUUUUCCCUGUGCUCUCACUUGGUGAUUGCUGUUUGGGAAAAGGGGCCUUUCUCUCUCCCAGUCACCACCUUGCCCCAGCCCAGCUGCUUUGGGUUUUCACGGAAUUUUAUGUUCCUGAGUAUCUACAGCUUGUGCUAAAACUUGGGUGAUACGCUGAUGGACCAAAGACACUGCAACAUCUGUGUAUGCAGAUAGCGCCUUUGCGAUGUUAUAGGCUGAUGAAUAUUUGUGAAAACUUUGGAUGAGUUUGUGCCCACGUAGACUCUUCAGGAUCAGAAAUCUGAACUGACUCACACUGGAAUUUCAGUAGCGGUUUUGUGAAAAAAGGCAGUAAAAAUGUUCCUCUUUAUUUCUUGGUGGUCAACAGACAGUUGUGCCUUUAAUGUUCCAGGAGUUUUGGGGUGAGGUCUGGAAUCAUGGAUGGGAAUUCUAACUACCUGCUCCGUCUCCCUGGAUUACUAAACUUGUUACUUGCCUCAGAGUUUAUGUGGGUUGAACUUGUGUCCCCCUCAGAUGCCCUAUUGAGUCAAUCUGCACAUUUUGGUGGAAAUACAACAAGCAGUCAACAGGCAGCUGGAGCAGCGGAAAGGACAAUGCUAAAUUAAGGUCUCAUGUGGAUCUGAGAUGGAUCUAACAACUGUUCCUAAUGGGGACCUUGUUCACUUAGAUUAACUUUGCAAGAAAUACUCCAGAAAGGAUCAUAAGGCCUUGACUUCAUACUUUGGGGUUCUGAUUUCUGUUGAUGAGUGGAAGGAAGGAUUCUUGGGCAAUGUUCAUGUGUUAUAAGGAGCUGAUCUGAAGCAGUUUACAGAGCACUGAUCAAGCUUCGUUCAACUAUGACUGCUACACUAUGCCGUAUGAUUGGAUCUCCCGGGGAGUUUUCCUUUAUGUCAUGGAGGAUAGGAGGAAGCAGCCUGAACUCAAAACCAGGUCUAAGUAAUUAAAAAGAGGAUGGCAGCGGAGGACAUGCUAAGACCAAAAACCCGAAACGUCAAGCACACUGCAUUCCUGUCUCAUAAGUCCUACUGCAACAUUGUCAAUAAACGUUAAGAGAAAUUUUCUGCUUGAAGUCACUAACUUGUAAUAAGCUUCUUCAGUGUGGAAACUAAAAUCAGAAAAUGGAGAUGAAUAACAUCCAGCAUUACCAAAAUUUAUUUUAGAUGAAAAAGAACCUAAGACAUCUGCAAGUCUGAAGGCAUAGUUUUCCUCCUGUUUGUAAGGGUCUUAAGUUUUCUGUCUUGGUGAGUUAGCAGUGAGGUAAGCUGCAUGUAGAGCAGGAGUCAGAAUACAGUACGUUGCACGUCCUUUGCUUCCAUUUCCGUUUUUCUCCAUUUCAGUAGGGUUUGACCCUACUAUGCCUCAUUUCUCCCUCAUUCUUCCAAUUUAAAUAGAUUUGCAAAAAUUUUAUCAUCUAGAAAAUAUAAAUAUAUCCCUCAGGAUAUCGUCCACAAGUAGUAGAGUGGUGUAUGGUUGUUUUCACUCUACUUCCUCUUGAAGACAGAAGUCCCCAGAAUUAGAUGGAUGGAUAAACUUGGCAGGAGAUGUGCAACCUACCUUUCUCUUAAUGUUGUCCAUAUAUAACAGCAUAGAAGAAAUUCAACAGUGUAUGAAGCAUCUGGGGAAAAUGAAAUUCUAUAUCAGCAGUGCUAUUUAUUAGUCAAAAUAUUGCUUGAUUGUCCUACUUGUUUACAGUUUAUACUAAACAAAAUACAAUUUGCAACUCAUUUUCUCUCUUCUGUGACAUGAGAAAUGACUUAUGGAGUGGGAAAACAGCCAAUAAAAAGGUCUCAAGAUAAGAAUUAUCAUCACCUGUUUUCUAAGAGAAGUUACCUUCACACUCUUAGUGAUGUGAAAGUGAGCUCUAAUCUACAGUAAUGUAAGUGGUCACUUUGUAUUAUUUUCAAGAUUUUUUUAAUUGUAAUUUUGUAAGCUAGCUCUGUAUCUUAAGAACCAAGUCAUAAUUCUUGGUAUUUGAAAUUGCAUCUCCACGGGUACAAUGAGUAUCUUAGAUCUAAAGUGACUGACAUCAUAGAGUGGAAAUAUGUUGGGCAAUGUCUAUUUUGCAUAGGAUUUUUAAA